rnacentral:piRNA from 1 species
UUAUGCCUCAUAAAAACACAGGUCACAACCA